rnacentral:rRNA from 1 species
GACGAACGCUGGCGGCGUGCUUAACACAUGCAAGUCGAACGAAGAGCGAUGGAAGCUUGCUUCUAUCAAUCUUAGUGGCGAACGGGUGAGUAACGCGUAAUCAACCUGCCCUUCAGAGGGGGACAACAGUUGGAAACGACUGCUAAUACCGCAUACGAUCUAACCUCGGCAUCGAGGAUAGAUGAAAGGUGGCCUCUACAUGUAAGCUAUCACUGAAGGAGGGGAUUGCGUCUGAUUAGCUAGUUGGAGGGGUAACGGCCCACCAAGGCGAUGAUCAGUAGCCGGUCUGAGAGGAUGAACGGCCACAUUGGGACUGAGACACGGCCCAGACUCCUACGGGAGGCAGCAGUGGGGAAUCUUCCGCAAUGGACGAAAGUCUGACGGAGCAACGCCGCGUGAGUGAUGACGGCCUUCGGGUUGUAAAGCUCUGUUAAUCGGGACGAAAGGCCUUCUUGCGAAUAGUGAGAAGGAUUGACGGUACCGGAAUAGAAAGCCACGGCUAACUACGUGCCAGCAGCCGCGGUAAUACGUAGGUGGCAAGCGUUGUCCGGAAUUAUUGGGCGUAAAGCGCGCGCAGGCGGAUCAGUCAGUCUGUCUUAAAAGUUCGGGGCUUAACCCCGUGAUGGGAUGGAAACUGCUGAUCUAGAGUAUCGGAGAGGAAAGUGGAAUUCCUAGUGUAGCGGUGAAAUGCGUAGAUAUUAGGAAGAACACCAGUGGCGAAGGCGACUUUCUGGACGAAAACUGACGCUGAGGCGCGAAAGCCCAGGGGAGCGAACGGGAUUAGAUACCCCCGGUAGUCCUGGCCGUAAACGAUGGGUACUAGGUGUAGGAGGUAUCGACCCCUUCUGUGCCGGAGUUAACGCAAUAAGUACCCCGCCUGGGGAGUACGACCGCAAGGUUGAAACUCAAAGGAAUUGACGGGGGCCCGCACAAGCGGUGGAGUAUGUGGUUUAAUUCGACGCAACGCGAAGAACCUUACCAGGUCUUGACAUUGAUGGACAGAACUAGAGAUAGUUCCUCUUCUUCGGAAGCCAGAAAACAGGUGGUGCACGGUUGUCGUCAGCUCGUGUCGUGAGAUGUUGGGUUAAGUCCCGCAACGAGCGCAACCCCUAUCUUAUGUUGCCAGCACGUAAUGGUGGGAACUCAUGAGAGACUGCCGCAGACAAUGCGGAGGAAGGCGGGGAUGACGUCAAAUCAUCAUGCCCCUUAUGACCUGGGCUACACACGUACUACAAUGGGAGUUAAUAGACGGAAGCGAGAUCGCGAGAUGGAGCAAACCCGAGAAACACUCUCUCAGUUCGGAUCGUAGGCUGCAACUCGCCUACGUGAAGUCGGAAUCGCUAGUAAUCGCAGGUCAGCAUACUGCGGUGAAUACGUUCCCGGGCCUUGUACACGCCGCCCGUCACACCACGAAAGUCGGAAGUGCCCAAAGCCGGUGGGGUAACCUUCGGGAGCCAGCCGUCUAAGGUAAAGUCGAUGAUUGGGGUG